UACGAAGGGGGCUAGCGUUGCUCGGAAUCACUGGGCGUAAAGGGUGCGUAGGCGGGUCUUUAAGUCAGGGGUGAAAUCCUGGAGCUCAACUCCAGAACUGCCUUUGAUACUGAGGAUCUUGAGUCCGGGAGAGGUGAGUGGAACUGCGAGUGUAGAGGUGAAAUUCGUAGAUAUUCGCAAGAACACCAGUGACGAAGGCGGCUCACUGGCCCGGUACUGACGCUGAGGCACGAAAGCGUGGGGAGCAAACAGG
rnacentral:rRNA from 1 species